rnacentral:lncRNA from 1 species
UGGACUACUUUGAUAAAACGACAAGAGUUACACUUCUCAUUUCUCAUUGGGUGAUCUUAAAUGACAAGGAUUGCCUUUUGGGAAAUCGAGAGUUUGUUAUGUGUUUUAAUUAUUUCUUCGGCAGAUCUAACGAAUUUGUUAUAUGUAUUUUAGGUUUCAUUGGUAGAUCUGAAGUAUCUGAAGAACUAGAGUCAACGGAGUCGUCGGAGAUCGUGGUGGUAGUUUAGGACCAUUGUUGAAGACGACGUUCACCACCACCACCACAUCUGGAGGCCUCCGCCAGUUCACCCCCAACACAUGUGAACUCUAACCCCCCAAUCGCAUUUCAGAUUCUCCGGCCGCCGCCUUGGCUUUGUUUUCCGACUCCUACCGUCGCCAGCCCACCGUCAAUUUUGUAUAAAACUAUAGAUAUAUAUGUUAUUGUAUUUGUCUGUAUGUAAUGUAUUUAAAAAAUAAAUAAAAUUAUAUUUAUUUCAUUUUGUUUAAUUUUGUAUAGUAAAAUUAAUUUUUUUUUUAAAAAAAUUUUUGUUGUAGUUUGUCACUAAAAGGUUGCUAAUAUAGGACUUUAGUUACAGUCACUGUUUAGUCUCUAAUAUAUGACUAUUAAUAUUCGUCACU